AUGAGCUGGAAUGUUCGAGGCCUGAACUCGUCGGCGAAGCGAGAAGCGGUUCGCGAGGUUGUUGAUGCGCAUCGCGCCAUCUUGUGCUUGCAGGAGACCAAGAUCGACGAGUGGACGCCGGCCCUCGUCCGCGACAUUGGCGGCCAAAUCCUGCGGGGAUGCGCGGUCCUACCCGCCACGGGCACUCGCGGCGGCAUCGCCAUUCUAUGGAAUCGGGAC
rnacentral:rRNA from 1 species